rnacentral:misc_RNA from 1 species
ACACAACGCUCUCUCUAUAUAUAUAUAUAUAUGGUUCAAUUUUGUUGAUAUCAUUUUAGAUCUUGACCAUUACAUUUUAAGAUUUUGCUAAAUUUUUCCCUUUUUAUAUAAACCAUUACUUAAGUAACUUUGAAUUCGACAUCUGAUCUGUAUGAAAUGGUUGAAUGAUCUGGAAUAUCUAAGAGGAAUUAGGAAUCUUUUUUGUUUUGAUUCACAGAACAAGAAAGGUUUUCUCCAAAAUUGAAUUGUAUUGAGAGGUGGUUCUUUCAAUAAGCAUCUAGCAGGUUUUUUCCCUUGGACCCACAAGAAGCAGACUAAUAAAAGAUCGUGAAAUUUAUAUGGAUAAUUUAUUAUAUGAUCUGCGAUUUUUAUCAUUCUUUCAAUAAGCAUCUAGCAGGUUUUUUCCCUUGGACCCACAAGAAGCAGACUAAUAAAAGAUCGUGAAAUUUAUAUGGAUAAUUUAUUAUAUGAUCUGCGAUUUUUAUCA